rnacentral:tRNA from 1 species
GCAGUGGUAACUCAGUUGGUAGAGUGACGAGUUGAAAGCCCGUUGGUCACUGGUUCGAAUCCAGUCCGCUGCA